rnacentral:rRNA from 2 species
CAGGGAAUCUUGCGCAAUGGGCGAAAGCCUGACGCAGCGACGCCGCGUGCGGGAAGAAGGCCUUCGGGUUGUAAACCGCUUUUCUGAGGGAAGAGAAAGGACGGUACCUCAGGAAUAAGCCUCGGCUAACUACGUGCCAGCAGCCGCGGUGAUACGUAGGAGGCAAGCGUUGUCCGGAUUUACUGGGCGUAAAGGGCGUGUAGGCGGUACAGAAAGUCUUUGCUUAAAGAUCCCGGCUCAACUGGGAGAGUGGCAGAGAUACUUCUGAACUAGAGGGCAGUAGAGGAGAGCGGAAUUCCCGGUGUAGUGGUGGAAUGCGUAGAUAUCGGGAGGAACACCAGUGGCGAAAGCGGCUCUCUGGGCUGUACCUGACGCUGAGGCGCGAAAGCGUGGGUAGCAAACCGG